rnacentral:rRNA from 1 species
AGUGAACGCUGGCGGUAGGCCUAACACAUGCAAGUCGAACGGCAGCACAGUAAGAGCUUGCUCUUACGGGUGGCGAGUGGCGGACGGGUGAGGAAUACAUUGGAAUCUACUUUUUCGUGGGGGAUAACGUAGGGAAACUUACGCUAAUACCGCAUACGACCUACGGGUGAAAGCAGGGGAUCUUCGGACCUUGCGCGAUUGAAUGAACCGAUGUCGGAUUAGCUAGUUGGCGGGGUAAAGGCCCACCAAGGCGACGAUCCGUAGCUGGUCUGAGAGGAUGAUCAGCCACACUGGAACUGAGACACGGUCCAGACUCCUACGGGAGGCAGCAGUGGGGAAUAUUGGACAAUGGGCGCAAGCCUGAUCCAGCCAUACCGCGUGGGUGAAGAAGGCCUUCGGGUUGUAAAGCCCUUUUGUUGGGAAAGAAAAGCAGCAGGUUAAUACCCCGCUGUUCUGACGGUACCCAAAGAAUAAGCACCGGCUAACUUCGUG